rnacentral:misc_RNA from 1 species
GGGAGGAGUUGGUUUGAAUUGGACUUUAACAAUUUUUUUGUCCUUGCUUGAAACUUUUUGAAAAAUUGUGGCUUUGUUUAACUAGGUGUUUCUAAGUGUGAUAUAUGUGCUAAGCAAAUUAAAAGUGUAUCACAAAUAUGCUCAAUGCAACUUUACACUUGACUAAGGUAAAGCAACCUAACAAACUCUAUCAAAGUGCACAACUUAGAUUCUAAGCAAUUUCAUAAACAACCUAAUCAAGUAUAAUUCAAAUAUGCUCAAUAAUUCAAUGUAUUGCUCAAUAAUUCAAUGUAUUGCUUAAUCAAUUCAAUCAUCGCAUGAAAUACGUCAUUCAACUCAAGAUUCUCAUUAAAGUAAAUGACAUAAGGUAAAGAGAUAAGGGUUGAGAGAAUUGAACACAGAUUUUUAUAGUGGUUCGGCUUAA